CAACCGCUACCCGCACGACAGCACGACCUCUCUCGCCCGGAAGCCCCUCCUCUACCGCACGACCUCCCCCUCCUCCUCCCGCGCCCUUCGCCGCCCCGUCGUUUCUCUCGCAGCCGGCGCGCAGCCGUUAGCCGCAGGAGCUGCUCCGCCGCGCCCUUCGCCGCCUCUCCCGCAGCCGCGCCCUUCGCUGCAGGUCGCCACGGGAGCCGCCCCGCCGCGCCCUUCGCCGCCUCCCGUAGCCGAGGACGAGGCGAGGAUCUCGGAGAGCAACGUGAUGGUGGGGAUCCAUUGCUAGGACGCAAGAGGGUGCUUGUCAGGCUGCUCGCCGAGGUCGAGGGGCUACACCUAAUCAUCACGCACGCCAAUGUCAUCCCGUUCCUGGCUUCCACUGUUAUCAUAACCUUCAUGGCAAAGGUGGAUGAGGGCUUCAAUGUCUUGGCCUGCCGUGCGUGGUCCUAGCCAGAUGGUCACCACCGCAGUCGGUAUCAUUCAUCACCGUGCUUGACGGAACUGCUCGCCACCGAGUCGGGUGCACCACAAGUACGAACACGCCGCCAUCUACUCACUCCUCCCUUGCUGUAGGUCGGCAGAUGGUGAGGAACGUCCAUCCCAUGGUUGCAAGUUUCAUCGUCCCACGAUUAUAAACAAACUGGUUGAGACUUGACGUCCAGGUUAUUUAGACUGACCUACUGAACCAGGAACCAAGAUUGCUGUGUUUCAACAAUUGAGAAAAUAUCACAUAUGCAAAACCAGCUACCGACCAGAUUGUUAGAUCCUGGUGGUGUAAAUAAGAACGAAAGCUUCUGAAGAGAUCAGUGCACUAUCUCUUAUGCAAUGCUACUGCAAUUGAUUACUUUCCAAUCUCUGAUUUAUUCUGCUCAUAUUUAUUGGGAACACUAGGAGGCAUUGCAAUAUCAUGGUAGCAAGGACAAUUACUAGCUAGCUGAACUGAGGAUGUGGGGUUAAGGUUGGAAUGGAUAAACCUGGGUGGUUACUGCCAAGCAUUUGGAGAAAAUUGAGCCAAUGGAGUGUCUUGAAAGCAUCUCCAUAUUUACAGCUGAACAGAUUUGUUGUCAUAUGAAACAGAGAGAUUGUACCACACUUUGUAAAAUGCCGAGGCACAUUACAUGUUCUUUCUUACUACUUAUUUUACCACAUAUAAAAAGGUUUCAUUAUUGCUGCUACCCUAAGAAUUGUGUCAUCAUUCCUUCAUAAUUGCAGUUUUUCAUCCUUUGGGAAUUUAGGAUGCAAGGGAUGGUAUUUCAUCAAAGAUGAUUUUUGGCUUGAAGGCGGAGGCUAGCAAUAAUAGGACUUUGUUCAGUGUGUCUUAUGUACUUGAUAGUGUUGACAAGAGCAAGCUUGAGGCAACCAUCACGGGCGGUACAAAGUGAUGCCCGCGGUGCUUGCUGCAGGACAUAAUUAUUGUGUCGGCAGUAUCUCUGUAUUUCUUCCUCUUCUGAUACAUCAUACAUUUUAGGUUUCUUUCUCAAAUCUGUUUCACCGCAGCUACUAAAUUUUAAGAUUCUUUCUGCACUGAAGUACAUGUUGAAUUUUUUUACAAACUUGGUGAUCUCUAUAUCUCUCUUGCUUGGACUUGUGUAUAUUACUAAUGUAUCUGCUAUUUCAGGUAUGUCCGAAGUUCUAUUGAAAUAUGCUCUUUCACAAAUUUGCUGAACCCACAUAUUUGGGCACAUUCAAGUUACGAAGUACAAACAGAACUUUAUUUGUUUCUAAUACAAUAUUUUGAGACUGAUGGGAAACUAUUACCAAUACUCUGUGGACUCCCUAAGAUCAUUGGCAUUGUAUGCCUUCUAAGCCUUUACUAUAUCUGUAGAGAGGCCACAUAUAGAAGAAAUUCGCAAGAUCCGUUUUCUCCUAUUGAGUCUUGCAGAAAUGAGCCUAAAGUAAGUACCACUUCAUCCGGAGAUGCUUUUUGGUGUCUACACUCCAGAACGCUGUGUUUUUCUCUCCAUCUGAACUUCUGGAUCAUUUUCUUAUUAUUAUGCUCAAUGCUGCUAUAUACGCAAGUCUGGAAAUAUUUUCCUUGCGUUAUGCUGAUAAAUUUAUUCUUUAGUAUAUUUUCUCUUGGGAUUAAUCUGUAUUAUGACAAACUUCUGUUGUCGGUUGAAGGUUUCCUGACAUGAUAAGAGUUCGUGUGUCCUUUUCCAAGAAAAUGCAAGAUGUUUCAUGUAUUGACAAUAUACUUUACAUGGUUAUCUGUGUUCUUUCACAUAAUUCACAUCUAUCAUCAUUCUUGGAGCAAGUAAAUGCUGUUGGUGUUUGUUGGACCCAAGUCAUUUAGUACUUAUGUUUAGUGUGCUUUACUAACUGAUAGUCUCUGCAAUGUAAAGCUACUCUGGGUCAAAUUCCACAUUCCACUUCUACAGAGAGCUUGGGAUUUAGCCACCCGUUUAGUCAGUGAUAUGUCAUUUUUGUGCACUCUGAUCUUUUUAAUCCGAGGUGCACCUGUAGACAUUAAUAAAGCAAAAAAGUUCUACGAUACCAAAUGAAAGACGUUUUCAUGAAUUCUGCAGAGAUAUGCCUUCUUUACAUUUUUAUGAAUUCUCACUACAUAAUAUGCAAGUGUACCGCCACCCAGAGGACGUUUCCCCUUUGUGUUCUAAUACUACAUGUGUUGUCAUACUACAGGUAUCAUAAGAAGUUUGAGAAUACUUGAUGGUGUUGUCCUAUGUAUGCUUUGUAGGCUGGAAGAAACUUCACCCGGUGAGGGAUGCAGGAGCGGUCGACAAUGAGGUGGCCCUGUCUAAGAGCACCCAGUAGACUGAGAGAGGAACAUUGUUUCUGUAACACAAUGAUAUUCAGACUUUCAGAGCACCCCGUGCACUAUGUGAGAUUUAGAAGGUGGUACUGCCGGUGGAUGCAUCCAUGUGCUAAUCUUCGGGCACCAAGCGGACGGAGCCGAACGAGUUGGUCCCACCAGCUAGCUGACAGUACACACAUGGGCGAGCAUGGGCACCAUGGAGCUAGGGAGUAAGCUGGGAGCGGAUGGACGAGGCGUGAGAGGUUGAACGCGGGUGGGGAGCGGGCGGACCGUGGACAGAAGAGAAUAACUCCGGGUUUGUUAAUUACUAAGAAGUCACAUAUUGAUCUUUCUUUUUUGUGAUUGGUUUAGAGGGGCUUAUCAGGCUUGCCGCGUGAUCACAUAUUUAUCUCUUUAUUUAUGUGGGUGGACAGAAACAUCAUUUCUAAAGUUUUCUUGGGGUUGUACUGAAUAACAACUUGUUUAGUGAUACCAACCCCUUCGAGCUCCCGCAACCCUUCGCCAACACUUAUUCAGUUUCUCACCACAAGUAGUAAGAGACAUGAUCAGAUCACUAACCGGUGAUGAAGGCGUUAUGUGGUCGUUGACGUCAUGCUAAAUGUUGGUGUAGUGCCAAAUAAGAAGAUACAGAACAAUAUUCCUAAGCUAGACAUUAUGGUACAAUGGAAAUUUGAGGAUUCUUGCCUAUCAUACCCGUUUGUAGCCUAUAUCAUGCUGCAAAAUUCCAUAAACAUUUGGUCCACAAUACUUUUUUUUGUUAUAUUGUUCCUGCCGAAGCAUGGAUGUAGGUGGAUGUGGGCGCCUUGGCCGCCACCAAGGAUGUAGGGGUCGCGCCCCAAGCUGUGAGUACGUGGUAGGUGCACCAAAACUGACGAGGACACUGGAGCCGUACUGCAACAUGAGUGUUUUUCAUAAUUUACUUAGGUAUGUGAAGUCUAUUUAAUGUUCACAUAUAUGCUGAAAUUUUGACAUUGAAGAACCAGCAAUGAAGUUGUAUGAAAUUUGUUGCAAGAGUUAUACAUUCUUUUUAGUACUGACUAAUUCCCAUGAGUACCAAUGGUGAAAUUUUCAGACCUAUGUACUAGAUGAUAUUUUCAUUGUUGGCAAUCUUCAUCAACCUAUCUAGGAGGACAUUGCGGUACUAAUUGCUGCACGAGUGUUCUCAGCACCGGCUAGCAAGAAGAGAGUAUGAUUGUUCAAUGCUCACUGUUGUAAGCUUGGUUCACGAGGAGUUUCUCAUUGUUGUACAUGUAGGGUGUGGAUAAUAUAAAUAAAAUCUAUUUGUUCAUUCUUCUACUGUACCUCCGAUUCGCCCCCCACGGUUCAGUAGGUUCAGUU